CCUACGGGAGGCAGCAGUGAGGAAUAUUGGUCAAUGGGCUUACGCCUGAACCAGCCAAGUCGCGUGAGGGAAGACUGCCCUAUGGGUUGUAAACCUCUUUUGUCAGGGAGCAAUUGGCGCUACGUGUAGCGUUAUCGAGAGUACCUGAAGAAAAAGCAUCGGCUAACUCCGUCCCAGCAGCCGCGGUAAUACGGAGGAUGCGAGCGUUAUCCGGAUUUAUUGGGUUUAAAGGGUGCGUAGGCGGAAUGCAAAGUCAGCGGUAAAAUCGCGGGGCUCAACCUCGCUCCGCCGUUGAUACUGGCGUUCUUGAGUGGGCGAGAAGUAUGCGGAAUGCGUGGUGUAGCGGUGAAAUGCAUAGAUAUCACGCAGAACUCCGAUUGCGAAGGCAGCAUACCGGCGCCCAACUGACGCUGAAGCACGAAAGCGUGGGUAUCGAACAGGAUUAGAUACCCCUGUAGUC
rnacentral:rRNA from 1 species